ensembl:snoRNA U3 Small nucleolar RNA U3
AAGACUAUACUUUCAGGGAUCAUUUCUAUAGUUCAUUACUAGAGAAGUUUCUCUGAUCGUGUAGAGCACCCAAAAAAACAAAAAAGGUGCAGGUUCAAUUUCUGGGU